rnacentral:rRNA from 1 species
UACGUAGGGUGCUAGCGUUGUCCGGAUUUAUUGGGCGUAAAGGGCGCGUAGGCGGUGCGGCAAGUCACCUGUGAAAUCUCCUGGCUCAACUGGGAGCUUGCAGGCGAAACUGCCGUGCUGGAGUGUGGGAGAGGUGCGUGGAAUUCCCGGUGUAGCGGUGAAAUGCGUAGAUAUCUGGAGGAACACCUGUGGCGAAAGCGGCGCACUGGACCACAACUGACGCUGAGGCGCGAAAGCUAGGGGAGCAAACAGG